GACGAACGCUGGCGGCGUGCCUAAUACAUGCAAGUAGAACGCAGUUGCGAACGGGUGAGUAACGCGUAGGUAACUGCCUCAUAGCGGGGGAUAACUAUUGGAAACGAUAGCUAAUACCGCAUACUGUGAGAUGGACCUGCGUUGUAUUAGCUAGUUGGUGAGGUAAAGGCUCACCAAGGCGACGAUACAUAGCCGACCUGAGAGGGUGGUCCGGCACACUGGGACGGAAAAAGGGCCAAGACCCCUCCGGGGGGCGCAGUAGGGGAUCCUCCGGCAUGGGACGAAGUCCGAACCGACCAAGCCCGGUGAGUGGAGAAGGGUUUUGGGUUGUAAAGCUCUGUUGUUUAAGGAGAGGGAACUAACCAGAAAGGGACGGCUAACUACGUGCCAGCAGCCGCGGUAAUAC
rnacentral:rRNA from 1 species